UACGUAGGGCGCAAGCGUUGUCCGGAAUUAUUGGGCGUAAAGAGCUCGUAGGCGGCUUGUCACGUCGGGUGUGAAAGCCCGGGGCUUAACCCCGGGUCUGCAGUCGAUACGAGCAAACUAGAGUGUUGCAGGGGAGACUGGAAUUCCUGGUGUAGCGGUGAAAUGCGCAGAUAUCAGGAGGAACACCGGUGGCGAAGGCGGGUCUCUGGGCAACAACUGACGCUGAGGAGCGAAAGCGUGGGGAGCGAACAGG
rnacentral:rRNA from 1 species